rnacentral:rRNA from 1 species
AACGAACGCUGGCGGCAGGCCUAACACAUGCAAGUCGAGCGCGCCCUUCGGGGUGAGCGGCGGACGGGUGAGUAUCGCGUGGGAACGUGCCCUUUUCUACGGAAUAGUCCUGGGAAACUGGGGGUAAUACCGUAUACGCCCCCCAAUCAAAUUUCAUUUGAUUGGCGAGAUUGGAAUCGUCAAAUUCCAUGAAUGGAAUUUGAUGGGGGGGAAAGAUUUAUCGGAGAAGGAUCGGCCCGCGUUGGAUUAGGUAGUUGGUGGGGUAAUGGCUCACCAAGCCGACGAUCCAUAGCUGGUUUGAGAGGAUGAUCAGCCACACUGGGACUGAGACACGGCCCAG